UACGAGGGGGGCAAGCGUUGUUCGGAAUUAUUGGGCGUAAAGGGUGCGUAGGCGGUCUGAUAAGUCAUCUGUGAAAUCUAUGGGCUCAACCCAUAGUCUGCAGGCGAAACUGUCGGGCUUGAGUAUGGGAGAGGUGAGUGGAAUUUCCGGUGUAGCGGUGAAAUGCGUAGAUAUCGGAAGGAACACCUGUGGCGAAAGCGGCUCACUGGACCAUUACUGACGCUGAUGCACGAAAGCUAGGGGAGCAAACGGG
rnacentral:rRNA from 1 species